GGCGGCAGGCCUACACAUGCAAGUCGAGCGGAUGAAAGGAGCUUGCUCCUGGAUUCAGCGGCGGACGGGUGAGUAAUGCCUAGGAAUCUGCCUGGUAGUGGGGGACAACGUUUCGAAAGGAACGCUAAUACCGCAUACGUCCUACGGGAGAAAGCAGGGGACCUUCGGGCCUUGCGCUAUCAGAUGAGCCUAGGUCGGAUUAGCUAGUUGGUGAGGUAAUGGCUCACCAAGGCGACGAUCCGUAACUGGUCUGAGAGGAUGAUCAGUCACACUGGAACUGAGACACGGUCCAGACUCCUACGGGAGGCAGCAGUGGGGAAUAUUGGACAAUGGGCGAAAGCCUGAUCCAGCCAUGCCGCGUGUGUGAAGAAGGUCUUCGGAUUGUAAAGCACUUUAAGUUGGGAGGAAGGGUUGUAGAUUAAUACUCUGCAAUUUUGACGUUACCGACAGAAUAAGCACCGGCUAACUCUGUGCCAGCAGCCGCGGUAAUACAGAGGGUGCAAGCGUUAAUCGGAAUUACUGGGCGUAAAGCGCGCGUAGGUGGUUCGUUAAGUUGGAUGUGAAAUCCCCGGGCUCAACCUGGGAACUGCAUUCAAAACUGUCGAGCUAGAGUAUGGUAGAGGGUGGUGGAAUUUCCUGUGUAGCGGUGAAAUGCGUAGAUAUAGGAAGGAACACCAGUGGCGAAGGCGACCACCUGGACUGAUACUGACACUGAGGUGCGCAAGCGUGGGGAGCAAACAGGAUUAGAUACCCUGGUAUUCCACGCCGUAUACUAUGUCAA
rnacentral:rRNA from 1 species